rnacentral:rRNA from 1 species
CCUACGGGUGGCAGCAGUGGGGAAUAUUGGACAAUGGGCGAAAGCCUGAUCCAGCCAUGCCGCGUGUGUGAAGAAGGCCUUCGGGUUGUAAAGCACUUUCAGUGGGGAAGAAAGCCUUGGGGCUAAUACCCUCGAGGGAGGACAUCACCCACAGAAGAAGCACCGGCUAACUCCGUGCCAGCAGCCGCGGUAAUACGGAGGGUGCGAGCGUUAAUCGGAAUUACUGGGCGUAAAGCGCGCGUAGGCGGUCUGAUAAGCCGGUUGUGAAAGCCCCGGGCUCAACCUGGGAACGGCAUCCGGAACUGUCAGGCUAGAGUGCAGGAGAGGAAGGUAGAAUUCCCGGUGUAGCGGUGAAAUGCGUAGAGAUCGGGAGGAAUACCAGUGGCGAAGGCGGCCUUCUGGACUGACACUGACGCUGAGGUGCGAAAGCGUGGGUAGCAAACAGGAUUAGAUACCCGAGUAGUC